ACUUGUAUGCGUAGCAGAAGGCUGGCAAAGCAUACGACGAAUAUCACUCGGUUUUCCUUUCUUCCUCCUCGUCUCCAGUUGCAUAGACUCAUAAGCAAGUCCUGUUGUAUGCUCUCAUCCCUUCUCCUCUCCUCUCCUCUUCACCAUUUAAAUCUUCCUCUCUAAUCUGUUUGUCAUUGACUGUUUAACUUAAUAAUCUUAAUCUCAUGAAAUAUUGACAAAUGGUGAUGAGGUGGAGAAAAGAGAAAUAAUAGAAAGUACAGAUUCAAAGGUAAAAGGAUAGUAACAAUAAUAAAGAAAGAACCAAAACUGAUUCCAAAAAACGGAAAUGCGAAUACUUUGUGAUGUGUGUGAGAGCGCAGCUGCGAUUCUUUUCUGUGCAGCUGACGAAGCCGCGCUUUGCCGCUCCUGCGACGAGAAGGUUCAUAUGUGUAACAAGCUAGCUAGCCGGCAUGUACGAGUAGGACUUGCAGAUCCUAGUGAUGUUCCACGGUGUGACAUAUGUGAAAAGGCACCAGCUUUCUUUUACUGCGAGAUAGAUGGCAGUUCGCUCUGCUUGCAAUGUGAUAUGAUAGUGCAUGUUGGUGGUAAAAGAACCCAUGGGAGAUAUCUCCUGUUGAGGCAGAGAGUUGAGUUUCCAGGGGAUAAACCUGGCUGUACAGAGGAACAAGGACAACAACCGCUUGAUGAUUAUGAAACAAGAAGGGACCAAAAUCAGCCGCCUAAGCUCACAGCUAGAGAAAAUCAACAGAACCACAGGGCCUCUCCAGUUCCAACGGUAGAGAAUAACACUGAUAGUGACGGGAAAAUGGACAACAAAUUGAUUGAUCUUAAUGCCAGGCCUCAGCGGGUACAUGGGAAAAAUUCAACUGACCAGGAAAAUCAUGAAUCCUCUAGUUUGGCUCCUUUUGGAUUCUUUAAAGGGGAGCCACAAAAGUAAGCAAGGUGAAAACAGUGGAACGAAGAGGUUAAGGUAGCUGUUCCAUUAGAGCCAUCUAUCACGUUUGCCAUCAGGCUCCAUCUUUGUUUUUGACCAAUUGUAAUCGGGAGGAUAACAUAGAAGCGCUAAAUCUUUGAAAAAGAACAGCUUCGCCCAAAAAUGUCUUCUCAUACUGGGCAGAUAAGUUAGCUGCUUUGCUGAUAACCAUAAAUUAUGUCAGAUUUCAGAAGGAUGCUUGUAAUUGAACAGGAAAAUUCUCUAGUGGGCACAGUUGUGAUGUUUUGAUGGCCGGUUGUCAAGUCAAAACUUAGUGCUCUUCACGCCACACAUUAUUAAAGGAUUAAUUGCAUUUUACUGGCUAUUGAUGGACGUGCCAGCAUUUCACAUUUUCAAUGAUGGAGCGGGCAUAUCUUUUUGGUUGGGGGCUCUCAUUGAUACGCUCGGACAUACUGAGUAUGGCCAUGUAGUUUGGCCUUGUUGACUUGCAGAUUGGGCCAUGCAGUGUGUGGUUGGUACUUAUUUGCUGAUCACAGUUACGGGUAUUGCGGGCGGAACUUGAAAAUCAUGGAAUUUUCAUGUUUCUUUUACCCUUGUGCAUUUGUUCAUAGUGAGGAUAGGUCUCAAGCCAGGCCAUGUGCAGCUAGUGCUUUCAGAAAGGGACAUCCAGAUUCAGGUGCUGCAAAUGCUAGGUAGUCUAUCUACUGUUUAGCAGGAACGGUUGACCGAUGCCUAUAAGCCUUCGGAGACUGGACUGGAGUGGCUUUACUUUGUUCGCCAGAUUCUGUAAAUUAUGGCAUAUAGAAGUUGCAGUUGAAACCCAGAGGGACCUUAUAUUCUUAUUUGUGGAAUAGCAGAAUGCUACCUGAUAUGAGAGCCAAGGCAGAUGGACUAUUGCAUUAUCAAGACCUUUAUUUUUCCAUUUGAUUUUCAAGAUGAUUUGAUCCAAGUGAUUGCAAGCCAAAUCUUUUAAAGUGAUCACAAGUAAGUCUGAUGGAUUAUGCUAGUUUUGAAGGGAGCUUAAGCAGGCUGUCAGUCUAGAGAGGCCAUAGAAGUGUAGGGAAAUGGUGUUUAGCCAUCACUGGAUGCUUUGCCUAAAUUAGAUGCGGUGAGAGAUUGCGUUGCAGAUCAAGUCUUUAAAUUUGGAAAUGAGUUGCCAUCUUCUACAUGCCUGCCGUAGUUCUAGAAUGUCCAUCUCUGUUUUAACCGUUGUCAAAUUAGCGAGGACGGAAUUGCAUUGGUUGUCCAAAAUGAAAGCAAGUUUAUUCUCGUUCUUGAUUUUCUCUGGAUUUUGAGAAUUUAUUAAACUAUUUUGAAUGCA